GUGGAGCAGCCUGGUAGCUCGUCGGGCUCAUAACCCGAAGGUCGUCGGUUCAAAUCCGGCCCCCGCAACCA
rnacentral:tRNA from 8 species